rnacentral:rRNA from 1 species
UACACGGAUAACUGUGGUAAUUCUAGAGCUAAUACGUGCAAAUCGGCUUGCUCUCUCGGGAGCAAGCGCAGUUAUUAGAUUAAAAACCAAUCCGGCCUUCGGGUCGGUAUAAUUGGUGACUCUGAAUAACCGAAGCGGAGCGCAUGGUCUCGUACCGGCGCCAGAUCUUUCAAGUGUCUGACUUAUCAGCUUGUUGUUAGGUUAUGUUCCUAACAAGGCUUUUACGGGUAACGGGGUAUCAGGGUCCGAUACCGGAGAGGGAGCCUGAGAAACGGCUACCACAUCCAAGGAAGGCAGCAGGCGCGCAAAUUACCCACUCCCGGCACGGGGAGGUAGUGACRAAAAAUAACGAUGCGAGAGCUCUAAGCUCCUCGUAAUCGGAAUGGGUACACUUUAAAUCCUUUAACGAGGAUCUAUUGGAGGGCAAGUCUGGUGCCAGCAGCCGCGGUAAUUCCAGCUCCAAUAGCGUAUAUUAAAGUUGCUGCGGWUAAAAAGCUCGUAGUUGGAUCUGGGUAGCUGGAUGGAUGGUGUGCCUUGCGGUAUUACUGUCUGUUCGGCACCACAAGCCGGCCAUGUCUUGUAUGCCCUUCACUGGGUGUACUUGGCGACCGGAACGUUUACUUUGAAAAAAUUAGAGUGCUCAAAGCAGGCGUACGGCCUUGCAUAAUGGUGCAUGGAAUAAUGGAAUAGGAUCUCGGAUUCUUUUUUGUUGGUUUUCGGAACUCGAGGUAAUGAUUAAUAGGAACAGACGGGGGCAUUCGUAUUGCGGCGUUAGAGGUGAAAUUCUUGGAUCGUCGCAAGACGAACU